UCUCGAUUGGUCUAGUGGUCAGGAUACCUGCUUGUCAUUCGGUACAAUCCGCAGGUGGCCGGGGUUCGAUUCCCCGAUCGAGAG